CGGGGCGGGGCGCGACCGCGCCGCCAUGAGCGACCUCCGUGACGGGGCCGGCAGCCCCGGCCUGGGGCGGUGGGCGCCCCGCUUGGCUCCGGAGACGUGGGAGCUGCUGGCGCUGCCCGGCUGCCUGGAGGAGCUGGAGUCUGAGCGCCGGCCUUGCAUUUCAGAUGACUUAAAAAUAGGAUAUUAUAGCACAGAUCAUGCUACUCAAACAGAUAUCAAAGAAAUACCAGAACUAAAGGAGCUAACUAUUGCUACACAAGCUUUAAUGGAGGAGUGAUACAAUGGAGUGAUGCUUACAACAAACAUUACAAAGAUGUCACUGAUACCUCUGAUACUGCUUUAUAUAUGUUUUGGCACAUUUUUAUAAUUUAUGUUUUGUUUUACAAAAGCAAUUACAAUUUUCUUCAUUUAAUUACCAUCUAAUUUCAUUAGAGAACAUUCUGAUACAAUAUUUUUCACCUUCGUUAUAGAAAGCUGCCCAAUACUUUGUUUAACAGUCAAAUUUGUUAUCUGGGCUGAGAAUCAGCUCACGGAUUAAGACACCUACACUUCAGUGCCUCAUGCAGGUGUCUUUAUCUGAGCAGGUCAUCCAAACUGCCCUUAUAUUCAGUGUAAAUUUGUCUUUGUUGUCAGUGGAAUAUGGAGAACUGAUUGAGCUGAUCAAAUACGAAUGUGAGAAGAAUCUCUCCCUAGAUUCAGUUGUCCUAUAGAUAAGCACCUAGUGCAAUUUGAGAUAUCCCAAGAUAUCCUACCUGGUUGCUCUCUCCUGUUUCAGAGAGGCACAGGUUUUCUUUAGGCCCUGUGUCAUAUCUGCCAGCCCUGCAUAAGUGUAUCUUAUGACACUACACCACAUAGGCAUGAGCAACUGAAUCAAGUCCCACUGACAUCACUGACUGUAACAGAAACUUACUCACCUAGUUCAGAUGCAGAUCCCCAAACUUAGGUGUCAUAUUCUGCAAGUUGAAUCCCAUAUUGACACCCUGAGAUGUCCAAAGCAUGGAUGUGGAGCUAGGAGCUCUGACAGCUAUAGAGACCUUUGUACUUCUGAAGUGAUAGUUGUAGACCAAAGAGGAUACGUAGAAAUACAUUAGAUGCUUGUGUUUAGGCAAAUGAUUCUAGCCAUCAGUGUCUUGAACAGAGUAAUGGAUGUAGUCAUACUUUAUUUUUGCCUAACUUUUUUGUACAGAGAAAUAUUCUCUAGUAUGUAAAUAAUAACAGGAAUUCGGGGUUUUUUUUAGCUCAUCCACUCCCUCCAGCARGAUUUGCUUACCUACAAAACAGUCAUUCAAGCACAGUAUGAAGAAAAAAUUGAAGAGCAGACUUCGAAUCUCUGUAAAUAUGUAAAUGACAGACUGAGAAACAUUGAGUUUUUUCAUAAACGGGUAAAAAGAAAAAUUCUUGCUCACUUAUAUGUUAAUUUUCACUAGGUACCAGUUCUCAUUCAUAUAUCCUCCUUGUGCAGAUUGAUAUAAUAUUGUACAUGAUGAAAAGUAACCCACAGAAGUUUUGGCAAUAAGGAAAUAAAAAAAAGUGCUAAUGCA
rnacentral:lncRNA from 1 species